rnacentral:lncRNA from 1 species
CCACCGUGUUCAGGGACAACCCUGUGAUCAUGGUUUUGGUCACAUAGCUUCCAAGUGAGUGUUGUGCAAACAUUUGCUAGGAUCUCUCGGGGAGCCUGUUAGAAAAGAAACUCCUGAGCCUGCUCCAGAGCUUCUGUUCAGCAGGCCUGAGGUGGGACCAUACACCUGUCUUUUCAGCAAGCCCCCCCCCACCUCUGAGGAUGCACCCCAAAGCUAGAGAAUUCCUGCUCUGAGCCAUCUCUGAAAGCACCAAGAGCCAGCUCACGGAGGAGAUGCCAGCUCACGGAGGAAAAUCUGGAAGGUGUUGAAGCAUAGACGCUGGAACAUAAAAUGACUCAUGAUCUCACUGGGAGAAGGGCUGGGAACAUCGUGGGCUCUCUUCUCCCCGCGCUCCUCUCUCCGGGUCUCUGUUUCCCUCAUUCCACGAUGUUUAGAACCAUCGGCGCACUACAUCAGACUAGAGGUCUGGGGUCACCCGACCAUCCCGCCACAAGCCCCUCCGAGGCAUCACUGUGUCCAGAUUUUGCAAACUGCACCUCCUGAAGGGGCUGGGGUCUGUCCACUUCGCCCCAUCUGCCGUGGCAGCACUUCCUCCGUGGUUCGCACCCCCACAGCAGCCUCCUGGGAAGGCACCUCCCUGGGGCCCCUCUCAGUCCACGGUGUGGAUAUGGCAGCAAGCUAUGCAUUUUGCAUAUAUUAGCAAAUCCAUGAGGCAGGUGCUGUCUUCAUUGUACAGGUCAGGAAGAUUCCUGCAGCUGCUGAGUUAGUACUUUUAAGAAAGUACUGGAUUCCCUCUCACAAUGGGACUUUGAUUUUUUUAAGAAAAAGGUUUCAUAAGUUUUCAAAUAACCUGGAGCAGUUGAGCAAACUUAAUGUGCAGCGUGGUCCCUGCUGGCUGGGUUUGAGGGGCUGGGUCUCUCUGAGUGGAUGCUGGUGAGGUGCAGAGGAAGAAGAAAAGGUGCCUGAGGGCCUGUGUGGAAGGCCUGUCACACAGCACAUCCUGGGAAAUCUGUCCAGGAAGCAGCCAGGCGGGCAUCAGCCAGGCGGGCAUCAGCAUCUUCACUGUGCAGAUGAGAAACUGAGGCCGCAGAGGUGAAGGGACAUGCCCAGGAUCACUAAGGCAAGACGGGGGAAGAGCAGAGAUCUUGGGCAUGAUCUCGGCUCACUGCAACCUCCACCUCCCAGGUUCAAGGGAUUCUCCUGCUUCAGCCU